GAUGAACGCUGGCGGCGUGCAUAACACAUUCAAGUCGAACGGUGAAGCCCUUCGGGGCGGAUCAGUGGCGGACGGGUGAGUAACGCGUGGGUAACCUGCCGUAUACAGGGGGGACAACAGUUGGAAACGACUGCUAAUACCGCAUAAGCGCACAGUACUGCAUGGUACAGUGUGAAAAACUCCGGUGGUAUAAGAUGGAUUCGCGUCUGAUUAGAUAGUUGGUGAGGUAACGGCUCACCAAGUCAACGAUCAGUAGCCGGCCUGAGAGGGUGAACGGCCACAUUGGGACUGAGACACGGCCCAAACUCCUACGGGAGGCAGCAGUGGGGAAUAUUGCACAAUGGGGGAAACCCUGAUGCAGCGACGCCGCGUGAGUGAAGAAGUAUUUCGGUAUGUAAAGCUCUAUCAGCAGGGAAGAAAAUGACGGUACCUGACUAAGAAGCCCCGGCUAACUACGUG
rnacentral:rRNA from 1 species